AUACAUAUGUCUUUCUUUCGGGUUUCGUGGACUGUGUGCGCUAGGCGCAUUUUGUAUCUUGAAAUAUCUAUAAAAUCCUCCAAGGAACGAGUUGUUUCUGAAAAGAUUAUUUAGUCUUUUGUAACUAAGAACAUGAGAGCUAAGUGGCGUAAGAAGCGCAUGCGAAGGCUAAAGCGUAAAAGGAGGAAGAUGCGUGCGAGGUCCAAAUAAAAUGGUACAUGGGUGGAUGUGUAGGGAAUACGACCUGCCGACGCUAAUGUAUCAAAUAAAAACAUAAAACCCA